UACGAAGGGGGCUAGCGUUGUUCGGAAUUACUGGGCGUAAAGGGCGCGUAGGCGGUCCCUCAAGUCAGGCGUGAAAGCCCCGGGCUCAACCUGGGAACCGCGCUUGAGACUGAUGGGCUAGAGUUCGGGAGAGGAUGGUGGAAUUCCCAGUGUAGAGGUGAAAUUCGUAGAUAUUGGGAAGAACACCGAUGGCAAAGGCAGCCAUCUGGACCGACACUGACGCUGAGGCGCGAAAGCGUGGGGAGCAAACAGG
rnacentral:rRNA from 1 species